rnacentral:rRNA from 1 species
UUCAUACCGGUAUUAAUGCAUCAGAUCUCAUUAGAACUUCGUAGUUAAGCGUACUUGGGAGAGAGUAGUACUAAGUUGGAUGACCACCCUUUAAAAAAAUAAGAAAGGAGAC